GACCAUCGAUUCGGCUUCUGCCCCGUUCGUUAAGGCACUCCAGCAUCAUACAGCUUCACUGGUCUCGCUCGAGGUCACUGGAUCUGUCGAAAAAUCAGCACCUUUCUAUCUCGACUUCAAGAAAACGGAUUCCGAUGUUAUCUCCCAUAUCCUGGUCACCAUCGAUUGGGAAUCUGAACUCGAUCUAUUGAAUCCCAAAGCUGCUAUCGAAACCUUUUUGCAUAUCUAAAAUUACGUUAUCGACUGCCACGUGCCAAAGCACAAGACUUCCAAGAAUUUGCGGACUCCCGGUUUACGAAAGAACAGCGUCGACUGAAGACGGUGAAGAGAUGUGCACGCAGCGAAAAGUAGUACCAUUGAUAUAAAAAAAAUACAUCUUUAAUUCAAAAACCUUGCGUACAUUGAAACAAAAUCCUUUUUCCUUGAUUUAAGUAAAUUUUAUAUUGAACCGAACUAUUUUUCCUUUAAACCAAUGUUCCAAGUUUUAAAAUCAAAGUAUUUAAUUUAAAUUUAAAGAAUUUAUUUUUUGACGCAGAAUCAAUGUAAAAAUUCAUUGAUUUAGAUGAAUGUUUUUUUGAAUCAAAGUAUUUUUUCGUCAAAUAGUCGACACAUCUUCAUUAGCUUCUGUUUGGUGAACGGGUCGGGGAAAAGCUUUUCCGAUAACCAGUCAGACUUAUUUAUACCAGCGGAAUCUUCCUGCCGUGCAACCCCAGACAGCAUCGGAUUCAAGAGCGGAAAAUUCCGACAGCUACGAGAGGGCAAACGAUAGUGGACUCCAAGGGCAACCAUUCGUCCAACCAAUUUGAAAAGGUAACUGUGCUGACUGUUCCAGUCCUCCGGCUAUAAGCGGUUGCAAUCGGUUCCGAUCCGGUCCAGGGAGACACAACGGCUGACGCCAAAACCCUUUUGUUCGAAAGCAACUGUCUAGCAACGAAUAUCGUUCAAUGAACCGGUUUAAAAAUUCAAUAUAAGGGAAAAUCGAUUAUGUGAAGUGGUGAACGAUAGAACAUCUACUUACAGAGAAAAAAAACUUACAGAGAAAUAAAAUGUUUCCAAC